GGGUAGUUUGACUGGGGCGGUCUCCUCCUAAAGAGUAACGGAGGAGCACGAAGGUUGGCUAAUCCUGGUCGGACAUCAGGAGGUUAGUGCAAUGGCAUAAGCCAGCUUGACUGCGAGCGUGACGGCGCGAGCAGGUGCGAAAGCAGGUCAUAGUGAUCCGGUGGUUCUGAAUGGAAGGGCCAUCGCUCAACGGAUAAAAGGUACUCCGGGGAUAACAGGCUGAUACCGCCCAAGAGUUCAUAUCGACGGCGGUGUUUGGCACCUCGAUGUCGGCUCAUCACAUCCUGGGGCUGAAGUAGGUCCCAAGGGUAUGGCUGUUCGCCAUUUAAAGUGGUACGCGAGCUGGGUUUAGAACGUCGUGAGACAGUUCGGUCCCUAUCUGCCGUGGGCGCUGGAGAACUGAGGGGGGCUGCUCCUAGUACGAGAGGACCGGAGUGGACGCAUCACUGGUGUUCGGGUUGUCAUGCCAAUGGCACUGCCCGGUAGCUAAAUGCGGAAGAGAUAAGUGCUGAAAGCAUCUAAGCACGAAACUUGCCCCGAGAUGAGUUCUCCCUGACUCCUUGAGAGUCCUGAAGGAACGUUGAAGACGACGACGUUGAUAGGCCGGGUGUGUAAGCGCAGCGAUGCGUU
rnacentral:rRNA from 1 species